rnacentral:rRNA from 1 species
GAUGAACGCUGGCGGCACGCUUAACACAUGCAAGUCGAGCGGAAAGAUUAAUAACGAGGCACUUCGGUGCUGAGGAGUUUUUCUUUUAGCGGCGGACGGGUGAGGAACGCGUGGGUAACCUACCCAAUACAGGGGGAUAACGUAUAGAAAUGUACGCUAAAACCGCAUAAGCUCACGAGGUCGCAUGACCUUGUGGGAAAAUUUCAGGAGGUAUUGGAUGGGCCCGCGUCCCAUUAGCUAGUUGGUAAGGUAAAAGCUUACCAAGGCGACGAUGGGUAGCCGGUCUGAGAGGAUGGACGGCCACAUUGGGACUGAGACACGGCCCAGACUCCUACGGGAGGCAGCAGUGGGGAAUAUUGCACAAUGGGGGAAACCCUGAUGCAGCGAUGCCGCGUGAAGGAUGAAGGUUUUCGGAUCGUAAACUUCUAUCAGCUUGGAAGAAAUGACUUCGCAAGAAGUUGGACAGUACAAGAGUAAGCAGCCCCGGCUAACUACGUGCCAGCAGCCGCAGUAAAAC